GACGAACGCUGGCGGCGUGCCUAAUACAUGCAAGUAGAACGCUGAAGGAGGAGCUUGCUUCUCUGGAUGAGUUGCGAACGGGUGAGUAACGCGUAGGUAACCUGCCUGGUAGCGGGGGAUAACUAUUGGAAACGAUAGCUAAUACCGCAUAAUAGUAGAUGUUGCAUGACAUUUGCCUAAAAGGUGCAAUUGCAUCACUACCAGAUGGCCCUGCGUUGUAUUAGCUAGUUGGUGGGGUAACGGCGAAUCAAGGCGACGAUACAUAGCCGACCAGAGAGGGUGAUCGGCGUAGCUGGGCCGGGGACACGGCCCAGAAUCCUGCGGGAGGCAGAAGUAGGGAAUCUUCGGGGAUGGACGGAAGGCGGAACGAGCCACGACGGGUGAGUGAAGAAGGUUGUCGGGUCGUAAAGGUCUGUUAUUAGUGAGGUACGAAUGUGAGAGUGAGAAGUUCACACUGUGACGGUAUCUUACCAGAAAGCGACGGCUAACUACGUG
rnacentral:rRNA from 1 species